rnacentral:lncRNA from 1 species
UAUGAUUUCGUGCUGUCCUGUAACAUGGAGGUACCACUUCAAGUUCUUCACGACUCAUUUCUUUAUGUUGACUGGCCUGAGUGCAAACUACAAUUCUAAACACACUAAAGCGAGUGUUUGCAGUCACUUGUUUCGAAUUCGGUAAUCAAGAUUACCAAUGUGACAAGGUUAUUAAUUACUGAAACUUAAGUAGUUAUUAGGUGAUUGUGCAUUAGCAAUUCUGUAAAGACCACCCAGUUUUGUGUUCUUUCUUUUCUUGUGUGCAUUAUUUAUGUACUAUUAGGAUGGCAGUCGGCAGCUAGUAUGUUGGUUCUCACUAGCAAUACCUCGAGUUUCUUUACUCUUUUUAAGCUAGAAGUUUGUUAUACUGCUAGGUGCAUAUAUACUAGGUAGUAUGAGGACUCCUACAACACAAAUGUACCAAUUCUGUAUUACUUAAGUUUUCCACGUCUCGUUUCUUUAUGGUGUCUUGCCUCUGUCUGGCUAUGUAUUCAAACUUGUAUUACACAUUCCAGUCUAAGCACACUGAAGCGGGUGUUCGCAGUCACAUAUUUUCAAAUUCGGCUGAGACCAAUAUUACCAAUGUGACAACGCUAUUAUGCAAUUUUUCUUCUCUGGUGUCUAAACUUCUAUCUUGUCUGUUCAGGUUUGACAGAGCCGUACGUAAUCAUAUCAGCAUUCUUAAUUCAAAGCGACCAUGGUUUCAACAGCUUGGAGUUCUCACAUACUGACCACUUAGACUACAGAACAACAUGAUCUACAUUGCCUUGCUUGGUGGUGGCCAUGUCAAUGUUUCGGUUAUUAGGUCUAACAUCAAUGUGGAAUUUCCCUGCCUAAGAAUGUGACUUUGAUAUUAGGAGGUCAAGUCAAUUUUUUUUUCUUCAUUAUUAGUUAGAGUUGCUAAAACAGGUAGAAUCUUGGCAGAACGAUCACAACGGAACUGAUAACCAACGUAAGGACAAUAUAAGCAGCACCGGCAUGCAGCUGGAGGGACUUGUUCUUUGUUGUUGCUGCUGCUGCUGUACGGUGAAGGGUAGGCAGCAAAAAAGGUUUGUAGAGCUGUAGAAAGAGGUGAGUGGAAGUCCUAAAUGGUGCUCAUGUUUGGAUCGCCGAAGUACUGAUAAUUUGUGAAAUCUUGAAUAUGCUGUAUGAUCUUGAAUACUGAGUCGACAAUUUUCUCUGCUGUAUGAUCUUUUGUCCCUUUUUCUUCAGAUUUGAUGGAGCUGUAAUCAGAUCGCCCCAGCGUAAGUUGACAAUCCAAACGCAUGCUCGGCUAGUCGGCUGCAGACUGAAUCAACAUGUACACAGAUAGGAGUAGUAUAUACUACUGUCACCAAGUUGGUUGGUUUCACCUGCCUGUUAUUAGCAGCAAGAAAAAUUAAGAGAUGACUUUUGGAUCGCUUGGUCUCGGGUCCUGAGGACAAAACUGCAACCAUCAGCGCUUUCGAUUGAUUUGUGAACGCGGGUGCGGGAAUUGGCGAAGACACACUCGUUGGCGCUAUGGUCAGUUGGUCGUUUCAGAUUAGUAAAGGUGCCUCUAGCUAAACACGCUUGUCCAUAGUUUUUUAGGCGACUCUGGUCUGGUCCAUGGUUUGUAGCAUGGUGACACUAAGCUGAUCUUAACAUAUGAAGGCUUGCCCCGGGUUUGGGCUAAUCUCCGUUGUUUUGGCAUUCUGUUGCAACUUUGUGACGGUUUGCCAAUAGGGCCGAUGCUUUUCUUUUUGUUUGAUCUUCGGAUCCACCCCAUGUUAUUCUUCCGUUGCUACCUGCUAAAUCUGAAUCAAGCCAACAAAUUUGCU